rnacentral:rRNA from 1 species
GACGAACGCUGGCGGCGUGCUUAACACAUGCAAGUCGAACGGAAAGGCCCUGCUUUUGUGGGGUGCUCGAGUGGCGAACGGGUGAGUAACACGAGAGUAACCUGCCCUUGACUUUGGGAUAACUUCAGGAAACUGGGGCUAAUACCGGAUAGGAGCUCCUGCUGCAUGGUGGGGGUUGGAAAGUUUCGGCGGUUGGGGAUGGACUCGCGGCUUAUCAGCUUGUUGGUGGGGUAGUGGCUUACCAAGGCUUUGACGGGUAGCCGGCCUGAGAGGGUGACCGGCCACAUUGGGACUGAGAUGCGGCCCAGACUCCUACGGGAGGCAGCAGUGGGGAAUAUUGCACAAUGGGCGGAAGCCUGAUGCAGCAACGCCGCGUGCGGGAUGACGGCCUUCGGGUUGUAAACCGCUUUCGCCUGGGACGAAGCGUGAGUGACGGUAAUGGGUAAAGAAGCACCGGCUAACUACGUG